rnacentral:lncRNA from 1 species
CCAUUCUUAUUUUUACAAAUGUUAUAUUGAAGGUAAAUAAAUCUUUAUCUGAAUGUCUAUUUCCUCAGGAAAAUUCUUAAAACUUUAAUUUCUGAGUUGUAAGAUAUUAAGAUUUUUAGAGCUGUUUAUAUGUAUCAUCAAACUACUUUCCCAAAUGACAUACCAAUUUAUUCCAUUGGCAAUAUACAAAAAUCGCUAUAUCACUACACUCUCACCAGCCAGCAUAGAGUAUUACCUUUCAUAUUUCUUUCUAAUUUGAUAGGCAACAAAAAAAUGACAUGACAUCAUUGCUUCAAUUUGAUUUCCUUGGUUACUACUAGUAAAAUGGAAGGGUUUAUUUUUCAAUAAUGUUAUUAUACAUGUUUUCCCUGGUCUGCAAAUUCCCUAUAUAUUUCCUUUUCCAUUUUUUCGACUGGAAUCUUGCUCUUUUUAUCAAUUUACAUUCAUUAUUAUAUAUAGCAUGCUACAUAGUAAUCAUAAUCAUGUGCAGUUGUUUCUCAUUAUUCACAGUAGUUAUGUUUUAUAAAAUCACUGUAAACACUAAAUCAGUAAAUCCUGAACCAUUGUUCCUGGGGAAAUACAGAGUUAGGCUCCUAUGAGACCCAAUCACAACAUUUUUGUCAAUAAAUCAAUACAUUCAUUGUUUAUGUGUGUUUAUGUUUAGAGACACUUUAUUUAACAUGCAUUGUUGAUUCAUUAACAUUGAACUCACAGCCAAUAGCACUGUAACUCUUGCCUGAAGUAAACUAAUCUAACAUAUGUAUUUUCUCUGUAAGGCACAUCACAGCUGUCUUGUGCUCAAGAGCACUAUACAGCACUUUAGCACCACACUUGGGGGGCAUUUUAAACAGCAAAACCAUCAAGAAAAAGCACAAAAAUGUGAAAAACAUGGCACUAAAUAGACUGUGAAAAUUACAAUUAUUUAAAGUAUGAGAGCUAAGACAAAAAGAAAGAGAAUCACCUUGUUGGACCUCAUUUGGGACUGGGCACAUCAGGCAAUUCAAAUGUUAUCACUGUGUAUAUCCACAAAUGACCACAAAAGCACCACAGGUAUUGAUUUCAGGAUUACAAAUAAAUUUUAGUGAGUAGAUGAAUUCAAAAUAUAGAAUCCACAAAUGAGUAUCAACUGCAAUGGUUAUAUUUGUUGCAGUUUUCCAAUUUAUCAUUUGUAUUUCAAUGUUUUUCAUGUUUUAUAUUUAGAGAUUUUCCUUUUUAUAUAUGAAAAUAUAUAACCCCUUCCUUCAUGACCUCAUAUAUUAUUUUAAGCAUAUGCAAAAAGGAAAUAAUUUAUUCACCUACAUUAUCUUCUAUUUUUAAGUGUUUAAUAUUAUGUAUAAAACUGUUUAGAAUACCUGAAAUCUAGUUUGGUGGGUAGUGUAUUAAAUUGGGGAGGAAGGCUGGUAAGAAGCCACUACUCACCCAUCAAUGAACCUUACCUUUUGAGCCCUGUCAUUUUGGCUCCUAAUGAAGUACCCUUCUAAAUACAGGUAAGCCAGUUCCAGAUACCUGAUUCCUUGCUUUGGCUCGGAUCAGCAUCGUCUUCAGCCAUCUUUCUGAGUUUACCGACCUCAGGCUCCAGUUCUGCAGAAUUAGUUUAAACUAGUCAAAAUAGAUUUGAACUGGUCAGAACUGAUUUUUCUUUGUGAGAAAAGAUUUUAACUGGUCAUGAGCAAGUUCUAACCACUUUAAACCCAUUUGGGCCAGUUCUAUGUUGCUAAUUCAAGAACGAACCACUGAAGGGAUCAAUUAGAAUCA